AUCUCAGAUUAAGUAAGACUACCCGCUGAAUUUAAGCAUAUAAUUAAGCGGAGGAAAAGAAACUAACAAGGAUCCCCCUAGUAAGGGCGACUGAAGCGGGGAUAGCUCACCGUGUGAAUCUGUGCAACUUGCGGCGUCUAGCACGCACAAGUGCACCGAAUUGUGGUCUGAAGAGGUAGCAUCGGCCGUUGUCCCGGGCCAAGUCCCUUGGAAAAGGGCAGCUGAGAGGGUGAGACUCCCGUUCUUGCCUGGGAUGGACGUGCCUUAGCAUGCGCCUUCUACGAGUCGAGUUGCUUGGGAUUGCAGCUCAAAGUGGGUGGUAAAUUCCAUCUAAAGCUAAAUAUUGGUGGGAGACCGAUAGCGUACAAGUACCGUGAGGGAAAGAUGCAAAGAACUUUGAAAAGAGAGUUAAAGAGUACCUGAAAUUGCUGAAAGGGAAGCGAAGGAAACCAGUGCUUGGCUUGGUCAUAUUUCUCGAAUCGCUUGCGGUUUGGGCGCUGUGUCGUUGCCUUUGUCAUUUUUGCUUGUUCUCGGCGGAAACGUGUGUUCGGGAGGUAGCGCUUGCGUGAUACCGUUCACAUUAUUGCUGGGUUUGAGUGAGGCUGACGAAAUGGUUUUCUUUACCCCGUCUUGAAACACGGACCAAGGAGUUUAACACAUGUGCGAGU
rnacentral:rRNA from 16 species